ensembl:lncRNA
GGAAAAUUGUCUUUUCAACAGGCAUGGCAGACUAACUUCAGAUAAAUAGAGACCCAGAAUGAACUAUGCAGAAACAAGGACUUUUCAGACUCAUCCCUCAAGGUGCUGGAAAAAUGCAUGCUGUGAGAAUGGAGAUGCUGGAGAAGUGGAUGGCUCCUUUAUUUGCUGGAGAGGUUCAGAUGAUAUCAGUAAUGAAUGUCUGCUGGGAAGAAGACAGAAAGAACGAGUCCAGAACACUCCUAAUGACUGCAACACCUCUGUCUGGCUCAGGACACACGAGACACGGAAGAAAGUGGAGUUGAAGCAGAAGACUGGUAAAGCAGUAUUACAGUAUCCCUGACUAAAAAGCACUCUUUUCC